rnacentral:rRNA from 1 species
GAUGAACGCUGGCGGCGUGCUUAACACAUGCAAGUCGAACGAUGAUGCCCAGCUUGCUGGGUGGAUUAGUGGCGAACGGGUGAGUAACACGUGAGUAACCUGCCCUUGACUCUGGGAUAAGCCUGGGAAACUGGGUCUAAUACCGGAUACGACCAUCUGGCGCAUGUCAUGGUGGUGGAAAGCUUUUGUGGUUUUGGAUGGACUCGCGGCCUAUCAGCUUGUUGGUGGGGUAAUGGCCUACCAAGGCGACGACGGGUAGCCGGCCUGAGAGGGUGACCGGCCACACUGGGACUGAGACACGGCCCAGACUCCUACGGGAGGCAGCAGUGGGGAAUAUUGCACAAUGGGCGCAAGCCUGAUGCAGCGACGCCGCGUGAGGGAUGACGGCCUUCGGGUUGUAAACCUCUUUCAGUAGGGAAGAAGCGGAAGUGACGGUACCUGCAGAAGAAGCGCCGGCUAACUACGUG